CCUACGGGACGCAGCAGUGGGGAAUCUUCCGCAAUGGGCGAAAGCCUGACGGAGCAACGCCGCGUGAUCGAAUGAAGGCCUUCGGGUUGUAAAGAUCUGUUGACAGGGACGAAUAAGCAAUGCGAAUAGUUUUGUGUAUGACGGUACCUGUUUAGAAAGCUCCGGCUAACUACGUGCCAGCAGCCGCGGUAAUACGUAGGGGGCGAGCGUUAUCCGGAUUCACUGGGUGUAAAGGGAGCGUAGACGGCCAUGCAAGCCAGGGGUGAAAGCCCGGGGCCCAACCCCGGGACUGCCCCUGGAACUGC
rnacentral:rRNA from 1 species